rnacentral:lncRNA from 1 species
GUGAGCCGGGCGGUAGAGUGGGCUGGUGGGUGAAAUGGAUGGGGCUCGACUCUGGCGCAGAUAGGGGAGGGGGGUGGCCCUGACGGCUUGGGGCCCAGGGUGGCAGUGGAGAUUGUGCACAGGGCCCGAGGUGGAGGUACAGGUCUCCAGGGCCAGAGGGAGGCCCCGAAAAAGAAGAAGGUGACAGGCCCGAUCCCCGGAGGACGGGGACCCGAGAAGGAAGAGUACACCAAAGAGGCAAUAAGUCAAUAUCAGUUCAACAACUGGAGUGAAGAUUUCGAAUAUGAGGAAGAGAAAGAAGCAGAAGAAAAACUAAAAACACUAAACAAGGAGUUGAAGGAUCUGAAAAGGACCUGGACCCAGCAGAUGGCAGCUCUUGAAACCCCAGGUUUAAGAAUAAAAAGAAGAUGAAAAAGAAGAAAGAAUCUGUUGUUCACUCUUUUUGAACUUAUCAGAAGCCCGUGGGAAAUUUUAAUACUGAUAACAUUUCAAAGUGCAUUGCCCCA